GAGAAGAACGUAGCAAAAUGCGAUAAGUAAUGUGAAUUGCAGAAUUCAGUGAAUCAUCGAAUCUUUGAACGCACAUUGCGCCCGCUGGUAUUCCGGCGGGCAUGCCUGUUCGAGCGUCAUUUCAACCCUCAAGCCCCCGGGUUUGGUGUUGGGGAUCGGCUCUGCCCUUCUGGGCGGUGCCGCCCCCGAAAUACAUUGGCGGUCUCGCUGCAGCCUCCAUUGCGUAGUAGCUAACACCUCGCAACUGGAACGCGGCGCGGCCAUGCCGUAAAACCCCAACUUCUGAAUGUUGACCUCGGAUCAGGUAGGAAUACCCGCUGAACUUAAGCAUAUCAAUAAGCGGAGA
rnacentral:misc_RNA from 1 species